rnacentral:lncRNA from 1 species
GCUGGGGUGUAAUGGUGUGAUCAUGGCUCACUGCAGCCUUGACCUCCUGGACUCAUGCGAUCCUCCCACCUCAGCCUCUGAGGUAGCUGGGACUGCAGUCACAUGCCACCAGGCCUAGCAAUUUUUUUUCAUUUUUUGUAGAGACAAGGUCUUGCUAUGUUGCCCAUGCUAGUCUUAAAGUCCUGACUUCAAGCAAUUUUCUUUCUUUGGCUUCCCAAGUACUGGGAUUAUAGGCAUGAGCCACCACACCUGGCAUCUAUUUUUGAAAAUUAAGUGGUAGAUUUAUUAAGAAACAGUUUAUAUUGCCAAAAAAAUUACUGGGUAAGAUGUAAGGAAUUACAGUAUGUUUAGUUGAGUUUGGUUUACACAAAAUAUGCUUUCUGUAGAGAAAAUCUUUAUAAGAAUUUCAGAUAGUGCUAUUUUUAUAUUAAUUUUUAUUUAUUAUUUUUAUUUUUAUUUAUUUUUAUUUAUAUUAAUUUUUAUAUUUGUAUUUCAAUAAGUUUUGGGGGAACAGAUGAUAUUUGGUUACAUGAAUAAGUUCUUUAGUGGUGAUUUCUGAGAUUUUGGUGCACCCAUCACUGAACAGUGUACACUGUACCAAAUGUGUAGUCUUUUCUCCCUAAACCCCUCCCACCUUUUCCCCCAAGUUCCCAAAGUACAUUGUAUCAUUCUUGUGCCCUGGAGUCCUUAUAGCUUAGUUCCCACAUAUGAUGUUUGGUUUUCCAUUCCUGAGUUACUUCAUUUAGAAUAAUGGUCUCCUUUUCUAUCCAGGUUACUGCAAAUACCGUUAUUUCAUUCCUAUUUAUGGCCAGGUAGUAUUCCAUGAUAUAUAUAUGUGAGAUAUAUAUAUCUCACAUUUUCUUUAUCCACUCAUUGACUGAUGGGCAUUUGUGCUGGNCCUUUUUUUUUUUUUUUUUUUUUUUUUUUUUUUUUUUUUUUGAGACAGAAUCUUGCUGUGUCCCCCAGGCUGGAAUACAAUGGCAUGAUCUCGGCUCACUGCAACCUCCACCUCCUGGAUUCAAGCAAUUCUACUC